rnacentral:lncRNA from 1 species
UCCGAAAGAGUUUUAUUAUUUAAGUGACAAGAAAUGAAAAUUUGUUUCGGAAAAGGAUUAUUUACAUUUUUUAUUCAGAGUCGCCACUUGGCAUAAUCCGGUGUGCCAAGUCACCUUUGGAAAAUCCUUUUCGAAACCAUUUGACUCUUAAACUGGUUUUGCGAACAGAGAUUCCGGCUAAGGAAUUCUGUUGACUGAGGGGAAGGUGUUAGGCACCCCUCGAUCCCGUGGUUCAGCCAUGGUCGCUUGGGUAGAGUGUAUCAACUAUUUUGGCAUUACGAAAUGUAGAAACCAUACAAAAGCACGCAAAAUAAUCAAGCAGUAAACAAAACAAAACAAAAUGUAAAGUCCUGUCCAAUUAUUACAACCCGAAAUAAAAAUACUAAAAUAACCUACACUAGUCCUAAACUAUGCUUUACCCGAUGCCUCGGGCCUUGAUCACGAGCAUCCUUUGCGUACAAAAUUCUUUAGAGCAUUCCCCGGUGAAUAAAUACAAAUUACUUCGGGGCAUUCCCCGGUUAAAUAAAUACACUUUGAAUCGAAUGCGAUAAAGUAGAAAACAUUCAACACUUACUCCACGUUCACAUCCAACAAAGCACUUAAUUCUAAAAUUUGCCUACCCGAACCUAUAUUGCCUAUCCAUUUCAACAUGGCAUAAAUCUAUCACAUUCACUCAAUGUUUACUUAUUUUGGAUUGAACGAAAAUAAUAAUAAACCCACGUUAAUCUAUUUCAUCCCUUUUUAUCAAGUUCUCAAUUCCACCCCCACUAGUUUCGUUUUUAUCAAUCAACAAUCAACACAUGGUCAAAUUCUUUCCUCAACCCACCAUAGCCGAAUCAACAAACGUAAUGAUCAAUAUCAACAAUAAAACCAACAAACAUAAUAACACCACACAUAAUCACAACCAAUUCGACACACCAAGAUAAAUAAAAGAGAGCGGGUUAAGAAAUGGACCUUCCGAAUAUUCUGGCUUGAUUAAGAAAAAUAAAGCCGUUCCAAAACCUCGAGCCGAACCUCAACAACGACCAAACUCGACCCCAAACAGUCUCAUACCACUCGGCAUCGCAAAGCAAAGCCCGAAUCUAGCCGAAAUAAAAGACGGAGAUAACACUGAUACGACCCGUUAAAACGAAUGAGACCAAUUUCUAGGAUUUUUCGCCCAUUUAAUGAUAUAUUUUACUGAAACAGGACAAAGACGUCGACUCAAAUGCUUUUCCGGUAGAUACCCGUCGUUGGACAAUGACAGUGAUGGCAACGGAGUAAUUGGACACUAGUUUAAUCGGAUUUUAGGAGGGCUUUGGAGCUGGUUAUUGUUGCUGUUGUAUUUCCUGCUCUCCGGUGAGUUUUCCCGGCAGUUCUCCGGAGAGAUCUCACCGAAAAACUCUAAAAUCCCUCUAUUUCGAUCAACUCGUUCUUCUCCUCCUUUUAUCUAUUUCUAUUCCUCUCCGUUUUUCUAUUCUCUCUCGAUCUCUCUUCCUCUCUCAAUCUUUCAACCUUAAUUUUCUCUCUGUGUGUAUGCGUAUGUGUGGAUUCCGGUCAGCUGUGUGGUCUCUGGCGACGGUGCAUGUAUAUUUCCCGUCACCCGCGAGUGUGUGCAUAUGUACUGUCAAUGGAGAGUGGGGUUUAAAUUAUAUGAGUAUUUGUGUGUCCGUGAGUGUGUUUUCGGUGAGAUACGAGUGAAGAAGAUGAAAAAUUGUGAAUUAUGAAAAAAAAAAUGAAAGAAAAAGGAAGAUCGUCCGUGCUCUCCCUUUUCUUGUUACUGUUUGUUUUGAAAAUAAGAAGAAGAAAAAUGGAUGGGAGUUGUGAUCUG